UCGUAUCCCCAUAAUUUCAUCAGCCUGUACAGUAUCGCCUAGAAACAGUGAGUAAUCAUAAAGAAACAACCUCUCUUUUACAUUCGUAACCGACGAUAAUUGUUAAUCUAUGUUUACAUUUGCGGUAAAAGCCGACACGCGCCAUCACUGAUAACUUCACUUGUGUGAAGUGUGUGUGAAAAUGUUCGCGAUAUUUCUCACACGAUUUCAUCAUGUUGGAUGAAUAAUAUUUACGUCUACAUAUAUCUAUAUCUUCAUGAAGCGUACAGUGACAUGAAUUGUAGAUUAGAAUAGUAUCUAUGCAUGAUUUAUACAAUCGUUUCUUUUUUUCAUUAUUGAAUAAUUACAACAAUUAAAUAACGAUAAUAUAAUGAUUUAUAAAUUUAAGAUAUUUACUCACGGAAUCGUUUAAAACGAUCAAGCAACGAGGAAUUAAAUAUUUAACGAAAAUUCAAAAAUUUUGGAAAGGAUCGUAUAAAAAUAAUAAGAAUUAACAGUCGCAAAUUUAUAAGAUAAUUACUCGGGUAUUGUACCGACAGUGGAAAAUAUCGAAGCUUCAAAAGGGAUGGAAAAAACAACUCUACCAACCUGGGAUAACGUAGGGGCGUGGAGAUGGCUGCUUUGCAAGUGGAGCUCUAUGCUGGCUAUCAAUGGAGCCGCCGCCGUGAUGAACCCCAAUCUGAUACCGCUACUGACCACUUUAGAGAAGGAGUCAAGCCUAAUUACCCUUCCUUCGGUGUCCAGGGAUAAGAACGAUUUUGGUUCCACCUAUAUAUAUCCGGACAAUGGAUCUCAACAUUCUAUCAAAAAUUGGCCAACGCGCAAUGGCAAAUUGUCCACGCUGUUAUUUCAGCCAGUCGAACGUGGAAUAACAUUUGGUAUGAUUAAUUUAGAAACUAAAUGAUAUUUUGGGUAAUUGGUCGGAACGAUGAUUGAUAUUCAUUCGACGAUUCUAUGGUUUUAACUAUUUCGUCAAAUAUUCCGAGUGAAAUUGAAAUGCUCUAUGAAAUUAUACCGGUCAAGGUAAUUAGAAGAUUUUAUGAACAUCGUAAUAUAAUUUUUUUUUUUUCACGAAAUUGUAUAUAUCACUCCUUUUAAAAUAUUUAAAAUAUUUUUAAACACUUUAAAUAUCUUUGCGAAAAAAUAGUAAAUACUAAAUCAAAAAUUUGCAAUUAUAAUUAUUUUUAUAAGUAUAAUUAUUAUAUCGAUAAAAGAUAUAAUUGUAAAGUGCACGUGUAUUAUUAUAUAUAUUUAUAAAAUAUAAUUAUUUCUAUUAU